rnacentral:rRNA from 1 species
UACGGGGGGGGCAAGCGUUGUUCGGAAUUACUGGGCGUAAAGGGCUCGUAGGCGGCCAACUAAGUCAGACGUGAAAUCCCCAGGCUCAACCUGGGAACUGCGUCUGAUACUGGAUGGCUUGAAUCCGGGAGAGGGAUGCAGAAUUCCAGGUGUAGCGGUGAAAUGCGUAGAUAUCUGGAGGAACACCGGUGGCGAAGGCGACAUCCUGGACCAACACUGACGCUGAGGAGCGAAAGCCAGGGGAGCAAACGGG